AGGCGAUGAAGGACGUGCUAAUCUGCGAUAAGCGUCGGUGAGGUGAUAUGAACCGUUAUAACCGGCGAUUUCCGAAUGGGGAAACCCAGUGUGUUUCGACACACUAUCAUUAACUGAAUCCAUAGGUUAAUGAGGCGAACCGGGGGAACUGAAACAUCUAAGUACCCCGAGGAAAAGAAAUCAACCGAGAUUCCCCCAGUAGCGGCGAGCGAACGGGGAGGAGCCCAGAGCCUGAAUCAGUGUGUGUGUUAGUGGAAGCGUCUGGAAAGGCGUGCGAUACAGGGUGACAGCCCCGUACACAAAAAUGCACAUAUUGUGAGCUCGAUGAGUAGGGCGGGACACGUGGUAUCCUGUCUGAAUAUGGGGGGACCAUCCUCCAAGGCUAAAUACUCCUGACUGACCGAUAGUGAACCAGUACCGUGAGGGAAAGGCGAAAAGAACCCCGGCGAGGGGAGUGAAAAAGAACCUGAAACCGUGUACGUACAAGCAGUGGGAGCCUCUUAAUGGGGUGACUGCGUACCUUUUGUAUAAUGGGUCAGCGACUUAUAUUCUGUAGCAAGGUUAACCGAAUAGGGGAGCCGAAGGGAAACCGAGUCUUAACUGGGCGUUAAGUUGCAGGGUAUAGACCCGAAACCCGGUGAUCUAGCCAUGGGCAGGUUGAAGGUUGGGUAACACUAACUGGAGGACCGAACCGACUAAUGUUGAAAAAUUAGCGGAUGACUUGUGGCUGGGGGUGAAAGGCCAAUCAAACCGGGAGAUAGCUGGUUCUCCCCGAAAGCUAUUUAGGUAGCGCCUCGUGAAUUCAUCUCCGGGGGUAGAGCACUGUUUCGGCAAGGGGGUCAUCCCGACUUACCAACCCGAUGCAAACUGCGAAUACCGGAGAAUGUUAUCACGGGAGACACACGGCGGGUGCUAACGUCCGUCGUGAAGAGGGAAACAACCCAGACCGCCAGCUAAGGUCCCAAAGUCAUGGUUAAGUGGGAAACGAUGUGGGAAGGCCCAGACAGCCAGGAUGUUGGCUUAGAAGCAGCCAUCAUUUAAAGAAAGCGUAAUAGCUCACUGGUCGAGUCGGCCUGCGCGGAAGAUGUAACGGGGCUAAACCAUGCACCGAAGCUGCGGCAGCGACACUAUGUGUUGUUGGGUAGGGGAGCGUUCUGUAAGCCUGUGAAGGUGGCCUGUGAGGGUUGCUGGAGGUAUCAGAAGUGCGAAUGCUGACAUAAGUAACGAUAAAGCGGGUGAAAAGCCCGCUCGCCGGAAGACCAAGGGUUCCUGUCCAACGUUAAUCGGGGCAGGGUGAGUCGACCCCUAAGGCGAGGCCGAAAGGCGUAGUCGAUGGGAAA
rnacentral:rRNA from 1 species